GGCUGGUCUGAAGGUAGUGACUUAUCUCACUUGAUUGUUCACAGUUAUAGAUCAAACUUCUUGUUCUACUGUUUCCCCUCUUCUCACUACUGUACUUGACUGUCUUUG
ensembl:Y_RNA Y_RNA Y RNA